CUGUUAUAUAUCCAUACAUAUAUGUAAAAGUAGGGUUGGGUUGAGUAGAUGCUACAGCAAAGGCACGCGAACGCGAAAGAAAAUUAAAUAGGGAGAGAGGGACAGAUGUUAAUGUUGACACAUGACACAGGACAAAAAAAUAUGACACGCAAAAUCCCAAAACUGCCUGGCUCCUCCCCAUUGAUUGUAUGUAGCUACCAGAGAUGGUCCAAGUCUACCCUAAUUUAACCAAAAAAAAAAAAUUAUGCAAAAAAGAGGGUCCAGAAUAAAAGGAGGAAGGGUGGGUGGGGGACUGCCUGCGUCUGCUUCUAUAUAUGCCUUUUGUUGGCUAUAUAUGUUUUGUGCUCCCACCCCUCUUCCGUUUUCGCAGUGAGAAGGAGGAAGAGCCUGGAGAAUACGGAGACGGAGGAAGGGGUAAGUAUAAGGUGCGAUAAUCUCAUGGUGCACCCUCUAGCAGUUGAAGCUGCCAGCAUGAUCUGAGCUCACCUUCUUAUGUGGCGGGAACAGAUCAUGCGGCAGUUUCAGCUGUUGAAUGGGAGCAGCGAUCCCUGCCCUAGCUGAUUCGCUUUCUCCGAUCUGCUCACCACCUCCCUCAAACCCUAGAAAAAGAUGCAUGAAAUUUUGGACAAGACGCCGGAUCAGGAGAAAAAAGGGAAGAAAGAAAAGAAGGGAGGAAAUUUGAAAAAGAAAACCUCUGAUUUUAGAGGUCUAUAUACUCGGGCCAAACCAAAUUAAACUGGCCAUAUAUAUAUAUGUAUGUGUAUAUGUCGUCUAGGUGGCAUAACAGCAACCAUAUGCAUAAAAAGAAAGCUUCUUUGACGCCGACAAUAUGCUUAAUUAUAGCAAUGAAUGAUCAUUUAGUUGGAAUUUAAUUUAAUUGUUCACUUAAGCUUUCUCUUGGACAGGAGGGAAAAUAGGGUAAAGAGAAUGUGAGGAGGGAAACUUUAAUCAGUAGAAGUUUCCCAUUCAGGCCCUGCGUUUAACUGCUACAUCACCGCCGGAUGGUGCCUCGUAAUUGGUAGUAGCAUUAGGAGGUGCCACUGCCAGAAAAAUGUACGAAGAAAUAGAACAGCUAAGGUUGUUGUGUGGGAAGUGAAUGUGAUGAUGAUUAGCAGUGGUGGAAAGUGCUUCAAUUUACAAGGCUGAUUAUGUGCCCCAUGAUCCAAGGAUGCUCCACUUGCAUCUCUAGCAGCUAUCGCCUCCUUCUAACUGUAUUAAUUGAUUUUCUUUUUAGUGUUGGAAGACAGCGGUAACUAACUUAAUCUAUAUAGAAACGACACGCGCAUGAUUAUAUAAAAUUUGUCAUCAACUAAAUUAUAAAAGGGGAGCUUGUUUUAAAAUUA